rnacentral:lncRNA from 1 species
CAUAGUUACAACUUUGUCUGCUGGAGAAGUGAACAUAAACCCUUGGAGCUGAAGGCAAAGCUCUUCACCCUGGGCGCGGUAGACUAUGCAUCCUUCAAGGUUCCCUCACUUAACAACCAGUUUCCUGCCUUCCCAAGGCCUGCAGUAAUGAAGGGGCAUUCAUAUUUCAUUUGCAUACAAAAUAUAAAUCCCUGUUUCCUUAGCCCUGACAGUGUUCCUCAAUGUUUCUUUAAUAGGAAUUUCCAAAGGACCUGGGAUCUUUUAUGUUUAAAUACAACUCCUUCAGGCCUGCUGAGAUGCUCCUGAGUUUUUGCAUCAAGCAUGCAGGCUACACACUGAGAUGCUACUCAUAUAACUGUAAGGAUUUCCAGUUGAUGCCUAAAUGGAUUUUUCUAGAAGAAAGAGUAUCUUCAGAGAGCAAAUGAAGACCCUUCUUAAUGUAAUAUGAGAAGCAGUUUCAAAUGUCUCAAGACUGCUUUUCCUCCUGACCCUUUAAAUCAACAGCUGGGACUACCAGCUUCAUUUUGUGUUUGUUUUUGACUGCUACCACGCAGACAUCAGCAGGGUAAAGACCACUGCUCCAUGUAUUCAUCUUCGUAGACCCAGGAAGCACAUAAUACAUGUCUGUUGAAUGACUCAAAGAAUUACUGCAGAAAAAUUAUCUUUUGAGACCUUCACUGUUUUCCUAUUGCAUUUCUGUCUGGCAUACUCAAAACAUUGAUUUUUAAACUACUUUAGCAAACCACUAAAAUAAGAGAAGGAAAAAAAAAACCCACAAAAGCAUGCCUUUAACUAUGCGUAGCUUUUUUGUGGUUUUUACUUUUACAUGUGAAAGAUUAUAUUAAAACACUAGCUCGAGAAAAAUGGUUUUUAAUUGUUUUACAUGAUUCAUAAUCUUCAUUACUGUAUAAGGUGCCUGGGACAAGAUAGUCCAAAAACAAAACUAGGAGGGCAACGUAUUUUGUCAAAUUAAACUUGUAAAAGCCAACACGGGAUGCAUCAUUCAGUGAGACACUGUUAGGAGAGUGCCAAG